UACGUAGGCAGCAAGCGUUGUUCGGAAUUACUGGGCGUAAAGAGUGUGUAGGCGGUCGGCUAAGUUCGGUGUGAAAUCUCCCGGCUCAACUGGGAGGGUGCGCCGGAAACUGGCGGACUGGAGCGUGGGAGAGGAAAGCGGAAUUCCUGGAGUAGCGGUGAAGUGCGUAGAGAUCAGGAGGAACACCAGCGGUGUAGACGGCUUUCUGGACCACAGCUGACGCUGAGACACGAAAGCGUGGGUAGCAAACAGG
rnacentral:rRNA from 1 species